rnacentral:lncRNA from 1 species
GGGCUACCCAGAGCGGUGGGGGGUGGUAGGGGGAGCCCGCCGCGGAGGGCGACGGAGCGCCCUGAGCCCCGGACGUGUCCAGGCGGAAGCAGGUGAAGCCGCAAUCGGUGAAAGGAACUGUUAACAUUUAUGGAUAUAGCCAUUGAUUUUACUGAAGAGGAGUGGGAAUGCCUUCAGCCUGCUCAGAAAAAUUUAUAUAGAGAUGUGAAGCUAGAGAACUAUAGAAACUUGGCCUUCCUGGUUUCCACCUAC